rnacentral:rRNA from 1 species
CGGCACGGGUGAGUAACGCGUGGAUAAUCUACCCUUAAGAUGGGGAUAACGGCUGGAAACGGUCGCUAAUACCGAAUACGCUCCCGAUUUUAUCGUUGGGGGGAAAGAUGGCCUCUGCUUGCAAGCUAUCGCUUAAGGAUGAGUCCGCGUCCCAAUAGCUAGUUGGCGGGGUAACGGCCCACCAAGGCAACGAUGGGUAGCCGGUCUGAGAGGAUGACCGGCCACACUGGAACUGGAACACGGUCCAG